rnacentral:rRNA from 1 species
UACAGAGGUCCCAAGCGUUACUGAGAUUCACUGGGUUUAAAGGGUGCGUAGGUGGUGCGUUAAGUCAGUUGUGAAAUCCCCGGGCUCAACCCGGGAAUAGCUUCUGAUACUGGCGUGCUUGAGGCCGGUAUAGGUUACUGGAACGGACGGUGGAACGGUGAAAUGCGUAGAUAUCGUCUGGAACGCCAGUGGUGAAGACGGGUAACGAGGCAGGUUCUGACACUGAAGCACGAAAGCGUGGGGAGCGAACGGG